rnacentral:misc_RNA from 1 species
UUUUUUCAUUGGGUUGUAACAUGCUAUAAAAGUCAAAUUACUUUGAGAAACAGUGGAAUAAAUUAGUAAAAGUACAACCUAACAAAUAGACCUAUGACUUUCAUGUCAGCUUUAGAACAUCUGCCAAAAAUAUCAAAAUUAGCAUGCCUUGUCUCCGAAGUAUGGGAUGAGCAAAUAAUCAUAUAUGAUGUAACUAUUCACUCAAAGCCUGUGGAAGGCAGCAAUGACAUGUUCACCCUCAAAAAGUUAAUUCCAAUUUUCAAAACAAGCAUCAUAAGAAAUAGUGAACAAGUUACACUCAUCCAAAACAAAUAUGAGAAGAUAGUCACUUAAAACAUCUUUAUUUUGUUGGUUCUAGUACUUCUCCAUAAAAAAUGGUAAAACAGCAUUAUAGUUAGUUUCCUAUUAAUCUCAAGUCAAGCCCAAGGAAGAGAUGAUAUAUAUAGUAAUUUGAGGACGGAAUUUAUGGCGUAACAGUUACAUUAUAACAUAUAGUAUGUUGGAAUGGAAAAUACUGAGUAUGAA